rnacentral:rRNA from 1 species
GUCCAUGCCGUAAACGAUGAGUGCUAAGUGUUGGGAGGUUUCCGCCUCUCAGUGCUGCAGCUAACGCAUUAAGCACUCCGCCUGGGGAGUACGACCGCAAGGUUGAAACUCAAAGGAAUUGACGGGGGGCCCGCACAAGCGGUGGAGCAUGUGGUUUAAUUCGAAGCAACGCGAAGAACCUUACCAGGUCUUGACAUCUAGUGCAAUCUGUAGAGAUACGGAGUUCCCUUGGGGGACCUAAGACAGGUGGUGCAUGGCUGUCGU